rnacentral:rRNA from 1 species
GAUGAACGCUGGCGGCGUGCUUAACACAUGCAAGUCGAACGGUGAAGGAGAGCUUGCUCUCUGGAUCAGUGGCGAACGGGUGAGUAACACGUGAGCAAUCUGCCCCUGACUCUGGGAUAAGCGCUGGAAACGGCGUCUAAUACCGGAUACGAGCUGCGAAGGCAUCUUCAGCAGCUGGAAAGAAUUUCGGUCAAGGAUGGACUCGCGGCCUAUCAGCUAGUUGGUGAGGUAAAGGCUCACCAAGGCGACGACGGGUAGCCGGCCUGAGAGGGUGACCGGCCACACUGGGACUGAGACACGGCCCAGACUCCUACGGGAGGCAGCAGUGGGGAAUAUUGCACAAUGGGCGCAAGCCUGAUGCAGCAACGCCGCGUGAGGGAUGACGGCCUUCGGGUUGUAAACCUCUUUUAGUAGGGAAGAAGCGAAAGUGACGGUACCUGCAGAAAAAGCACCGGCUAACUACGUGCCAGCCGCCGCAGUAA